GAUGAACGCUAGCGGCAGGCCUAAUACAUGCAAGCCGAACGGCAAGUUUGAUAGCAAUAUUGGACCUAGAGUGGCGCAAGGGUGCGUAACACGUAUGCAACCUGCCCGCGACAGGAGGAUAGCUCCCCGAAAGGGGAAUUAACCCUCCAUAACACCAUGAGAAGGCAUCUGAUUAUGGUUAAACCGCAAGGGGUCGCGGAUGGGCAUGCGGUUGAUUAGCUAGUUGGCGGGGUAAAGGCCCACCAAGGCGGUGAUCAAUAGGGGUUCUGAGAGGAAGGUCCCCCACACUGGCACUGGGAUACGGGCCAGACUCCUACGGGAGGCAGCAGUAGGGAAUAUUGGACAAUGGUUGCAAGACUGAUCCAGCCAUGCCGCGUGCAGGAAGAAGGCCUUCUGGGUCGUAGACUGCUUUUUCCUGUGGAUAAAAUACCCGUGCGCGGGGAAUUGAAGGUAACAGGGGAAUAAGCCACGGCUAACUACGUG
rnacentral:rRNA from 1 species